rnacentral:rRNA from 1 species
GUAACGGCGAGUGAAGCGGCAACAGCUCAAAUUUGAAAUCUGGCCCCCUCGGGGUCCGAGUUGUAAUUUGUAGAGGGUGUUUCGGGCGCGAUGCCGGUCUAAGUUCCUUGGAACAGGACGUCGUAGAGGGUGAGAAUCCCGUAUGCGACCGGCGAUCAAGCCUGUGUGAAACCCCUUCGACGAGUCGAGUUGUUUGGGAAUGCAGCUCAAAAUGGGUGGUAAAUUUCAUCUAAAGCUAAAUAUUGGCCAGAGACCGAUAGCGGACAAGUAGAGUGAUCGAAAGAUGAAAAGCACUUUGGAAAGAGAGUCAAACAGUACGUGAAAUUGUUGAAAGGGAAGCGCUUGCAAUCAGACCGGUCCGGAGGUGAUCAGCCGCUGCUCGUCAGCGGUGCACUCGCCUGCGAUCCGGCCAGCAUCGGUUUGGGCGGUGGGAUAAAAGUCCCGGGAAUGUAGCUUCUUUCGGGGAGUCUUAUAGCCCGGCUCGCAAUGCCGCCCGCCUGGACCGAGGACCGCGCUUCGGCU